rnacentral:rRNA from 1 species
UACGGAGGGUGCGAGCGUUGUCCGGAAUCACUGGGCGUAAAGGGCGCGUAGGCGGCCUGAUAAGUAGGGGGUGAAAUCUUGCGGCUUAACCGCAAGGCUGCCUUCUAAACUGUCGGGCUCGAGCACAGUAGAGGCAGGUGGAAUUCCCGGUGUAGCGGUGGAAUGCGUAGAGAUCGGGAAGAACACCGGUGGCGAAGGCGGCCUGCUGGGACAGUGCUGACGCUGAAGCGCGACAGCGUGGGGAGCAAACAGG